rnacentral:rRNA from 1 species
GAUGAACGCUGGCGGCGUGCCUAAUACAUGCAAGUCGAGCGAACAGACGAGGAGCUUGCUCCUCUGACGUUAGCGGCGGACGGGUGAGUAACACGUGGAUAACCUACCUAUAAGACUGGGAUAACUUCGGGAACCCGGAGCUAAUACCGGAUAAUAUAUUGAACCGCAUGGUUCAAUAGUGAAAGACGGUUUUGCUGUCACUUAUAGAUGGAUCCGCGCCGGAUUAGCUAGUUGGUAAGGUAACGGCUUACCAAGGCAACGAUGCGUAGCCGACCUGAGAGGGUGAUCGGCCACACUGGAACUGAGACACGGUCCAGACUCCUACGGGAGGCAGCAGUAGGGAAUCUUCCGCAAUGGGCGAAAGCCUGACGGAGCAACGCCGCGUGAGUGAUGAAGGUCUUCGGAUCGUAAAGCUCUGUUAUUAGGGAAGAACAAAUGUGUAAGUAACUAUGCACGUCUUGACGGUACCUACUCAGAAAGCCACGGCUAACUACGUG